rnacentral:rRNA from 1 species
UACAGAGGUCUCAAGCGAUUGUUUCGGAUUCAUUGGGCGUAAAGGGUGUGUAGGUGGCGCCGUAAGUCGGGUGUGAAAUUUCGAGGCUUAACCUCGAAACUGCAUUCGAUACUGCGGUGCUUGAGGACUGGAGAGGAGACUGGAAUUCAUGGUGUAGCAGUGAAAUGCGUAGAUAUCAUGAGGAAGACCAGUGGCGAAGGCGGGUCUCUGGACAGUUCCUGACACUGAGACACGAAGGCCAGGGGAGCAAACGGG